CAGUAGCCGCGGUAAUACGUAGGUGGCAAGCGUUGUCCGGAAUUAUUGGGCGUAAAGGGCUCGCAGGCGGUUUCUUAAGUCUGAUGUGAAAGCCCCCGGCUCAACCGGGGAGGGUCAUUGGAAACUGGGAAACUUGAGUGCAGAAGAGGAGAGUGGAAUUCCACGUGUAGCGGUGAAAUUCGUAGAGAUGUGGAGGAACACCAGUGGCGAAGGCGACUCUCUGGUCUGUAACUGACGCUGAGGAGCGAAAGCGUGGGGAGCGAACAGGAUUAGAUACCCCAGUAGUCCCUGUCUCUUAUAC
rnacentral:rRNA from 1 species